AUAGUACUCCCUCCGUCCCAAAAUUCAUGUCUUAUAUUUGUCUAGAUACGGAUGUAUCUAAUCCGUAUUUAGACAAAUUUAAGAUAAAAAUUUUAGGACGAAGGGAGUACAUA
rfam:Triticum aestivum genome assembly, contig: Triticum_aestivum_CS42_TGACv1_scaffold_049814_1BS